CGCCAGAUAGCUCAGUUGGUAGAGCUCCUGACUAGAGAUUCAGGGGGCCCGUGUUUGAAUCCCGGUCUGGUCC
rfam:Crassostrea gigas strain 05x7-T-G4-1.051#20 contig20490, whole genome shotgun sequence.